UAUACAUGCAAGUCGAACGAACUCUGGUAUUGAUUGGUGCUUGCAUCAUGAUUUACAUUUGAGUGAGUGGCGAACUGGUGAGUAACACGUGGGAAACCUGCCCAGAAGCGGGGGAUAACACCUGGAAACAGAUGCUAAUACCGCAUAACAACUUGGACCGCAUGGUCCGAGUUUGAAAGAUGGCUUCAGCUAUCACUUUUGGAUGGUCCCGCGGCGUAUUAGCUAGAUGGUGGGGUAACGGCUCACCAUGGCAAUGAUACGUAGCCGACCUGAGAGGGUAAUCGGCCACAUUGGGACUGAGACACGGCCCAAACUCCUACGGGAGGCAGCAGUAGGGAAUCUUCCACAAUGGACGAAAGUCUGAUGGAGCAACGCCGCGUGAGUGAAGAAGGGUUUCGGCUCGUAAAACUCUGUUGUUAAAGAAGAACAUAUCUGAGAGUAACUGUUCAGGUAUUGACGGUAUUUAACCAGAAAGCCACGGCUAACUACGUGCCAGCAGCCGCGGUAAUACGUAGGUGGCAAGCGUUGUCCGGAUUUAUUGGGCGUAAAGCGAGCGCAGGCGGUUUUUUAAGUCUGAUGUGAAAGCCUUCGGCUCAACCGAAGAAGUGCAUCGGAAACUGGGAAACUUGAGUGCAGAAGAGGACAGUGGAACUCCAUGUGUAGCGGUGAAAUGCGUAGAUAUAUGGAAGAACACCAGUGGCGAAGGCGGCUGUCUGGUCUGUAACUGACGCUGAGGCUCGAAAGUAUGGGUAGCAAACAGGAUUAGAUACCCUGGUAGUCCAUACCGUAAACGAUGAAUGCUAAGUGUUGGAGGGUUUCCGCCCUUCAGUGCUGCAGCUAACGCAUUAAGCAUUCCGCCUGGGGAGUACGGCCGCAAGGCUGAAACUCAAAGGAAUUGACGGGGGCCCGCACAAGCGGUGGAGCAUGUGGUUUAAUUCGAAGCUACGCGAAGAACCUUACCAGGUCUUGACAUACUAUGCAAAUCUAAGAGAUUAGACGUUCCCUUCGGGGACAUGGAUACAGGUGGUGCAUGGUUGUCGUCAGCUCGUGUCGUGAGAUGUUGGGUUAAGUCCCGCAACGAGCGCAACCCUUAUUAUCAGUUGCCAGCAUUAAGUUGGGCACUCUGGUGAGACUGCCGGUGACAAACCGGAGGAAGGUGGGGAUGACGUCAAAUCAUCAUGCCCCUUAUGACCUGGGCUACACACGUGCUACAAUGGAUGGUACAACGAGUUGCGAACUCGCGAGAGUAAGCUAAUCUCUUAAAGCCAUUCUCAGUUCGGAUUGUAGGCUGCAACUCGCCUACAUGAAGUCGGAAUCGCUAGUAAUCGCGGAUCAGCAUGCCGCGGUGAAUACGUUCCCGGGCCUUGUACACACCGCCCGUCACACCAUGAGAGUUUGUAACACCCAAAGUCGGUGGGGUAACCUUUUAGGAACCAGCC
rnacentral:rRNA from 1 species